CGCGUAGGCGGAUCUUUAAGUCGGGGGUGAAAGCCCAGGGCUCAACCCUGGAAUUGCCUCCGAUACUGGGGAUCUCGAGACCGGAAGAGGUGAGUGGAACUGCGAGUGUAGAGGUGAAAUUCGUAGAUAUUCGCAAGAACACCAGUGGCGAAGGCGGCUCACUGGUCCGGAUCUGACGCUGAGGCGCGAAAGCGUGGGGAGCAAACA
rnacentral:rRNA from 1 species